CCGAGAAUAUUCGACAAUGGGCGAAAGCCUGAUCGAGCGACGCCGCGUGACUGAUGAAGUCCUUCGGGACGUAAAGGUCUUUUGUGAGGUAGAAAGUUAUUGAUCGCCUCAAGAAUAAGGGGUUGCUAAACUCGUGCCAGCAGCAGCGGUAAUACGAGUGCCCCAAGCGUUAUCCGGAAUCAUUGGGCGUAAAGGGUGUGUAGGCGGUUGUAUUAGUCUUUUGUUAAAGCUCCCGGCUCAACCGGGAAAAUGCAAAAGAAACGGUACAACUAGAGGAUGCGAGAGGUGAAUGGAACUCAUAGUGUAGGGGUGAAAUCCGUUGAUAUUAUGGGGAACACCAAAUGCGAAGGCAAUUCACUGGCGCACUCCUGACGCUGAAACACGAAAGCGUGGGUAGCGAAUGGGAUUAGAUACCCCCGUAGUCC
rnacentral:rRNA from 1 species